UGAAAUUGCUCAGGAUUUCAAGACUGAUCUGCGAUUCCAGAGCCAUGCAGUCCUCGCACUUCAGGAGGCAGCAGAGGCUUACCUUGUGGGUCUGUUUGAGGACACAAACUUGUGUGCCAUCCAUGCUAAGCGUGUGACCAUCAUGCCUAAAGACAUUCAGCUGGCUCGCCGGAUCAGGGGUGAAAGGGCCUGAUUGUGCUACUGGGGGACUACUGCUAGUGUUAUGGUUCUGUUAGAUGUUCUCUUUUCUUGAACCCAAAAAACUUAGUACCAGUUAAGAGUAGUUGGUUUGUGAUCAAUGUUGGUUUGAACUUAAUGUUAAUAUUAGUACUUGGUGGGUAUCUUGAACCUUAAUUCUGCUUUGUUAUUUGAAGUGUUGGAUUAAAAUUUGUU
rnacentral:misc_RNA from 1 species